CCUACGGGAGGCAGCAGUAGGGAAUCUUCCGCAAUGGGCGAAAGCCUGACGGAGCAACGCCGCGUGAGUGAUGAAGGUCUUCGGAUCGUAAAACUCUGUUAUUAGGGAAGAACAUAUGUGUAAGUAACUGUGCACAUCUUGACGGUACCUAAUCAGAAAGCCACGGCUAACUACGUGCCAGCAGCCGCGGUAAUACGUAGGUGGCAAGCGUUAUCCGGAAUUAUUGGGCGUAAAGCGCGCGUAGGCGGUUUCUUAAGUCUGAUGUGAAAGCCCACGGCUCAACCGUGGAGGGUCAUUGGAAACUGGGAAACUUGAGUACAGAAGAGGAAAGUGGAAUUCCAUGUGUAGCGGUGAAAUGCGCAGGGAUAUGGAGGAACACCAGUGGCGAAGGCGACUUUCUGGUCUGUAACUGACGCUGAUGUGCGAAAGCGUGGGGAUCAAACAGGAUUAGAUACCCUGGUAGUCCACGCCGUAAACGAUGAGUGCUAAGUGUUAGGGGGUUUCCGCCCCUUAGUGCUGCAGCUAACGCAUUAAGCACUCCGCCUGGGGAGUACGACCGCAAGGUUGAAACUCAAAGGAAUUGACGG
rnacentral:rRNA from 1 species